rnacentral:lncRNA from 1 species
GAUAUAAGAUCCUUAGAUAACUCAAGGAUGAAGCAAGGAACCCGCACCACCAUCGGGGCAAUCACCACUUCCACCAACGCCACUGCCAAGACCACCAAUUCCACCUCCUAAACCUCCGAGACCUCCAGUGGCACCGCCCAGGCCGCCUAAACCAGGGGAAUCACCAAGUCCGCCAAGUCCACCAAUUCCGCCCCCAAGGCCGCCAAGGCCACCACCAACUCCACCUCCACCUCCAAGACCGGUUCCUGCAAAGCCACCAAC